GACGAACGCUGGCGGCGUGCUUAACACAUGCCAGUCGAACGGAAAGGCCCUGCUUUUGUGGGGUGCUCGAGUGGCGAACGGGUGAGUAACACGUGAGUAACCUGCCCUUGACUUUGGGAUAACUUCAGGAAACUGGGGCUAAUACCGGAUAGGAGCUCCUGCUGCAUGGUGGGGGUUGGAAAGUUUCGGCGGUUGGGGAUGGACUCGCGGCUUAUCAGCUUGUUGGUGGGGUAGUGGCUUACCAAGGCUUUGACGGGUAGCCGGCCUGAGAGGGUGGCCGGCCAAGUUGGGACUGAGCUGCGGCCCAGACUCCUACGGGAGGCAGCAGUGGGGAAUAUUGCACAAUGGGAGGAAGCCUGAUGCAGCAACGCCGCGUGCGGGAUGACGGCCUUCGGGUUGUAAACCGCUAUCGCCUGUGACGAAGCGUGAGUGACGGUAAUGGGUGAAGAAGCACCGGCUAACUACGUG
rnacentral:rRNA from 1 species